AGACCUACGGGGGGCAGCAGUGAGGAAUAUUGGUCAAUGGGCGAGAGCCUGAACCAGCCAAGUCGCGUGAAGGAAGAAGGUCUUAUGGAUUGUAAACUUCUUUAGCAGGGGAAUAAAGGUUAUUACGAGCUAAUAAUUUGCAGGUACUCUGCGAAAAAGGAUCGGCUAACUCCGUGCCAGCAGCCGCGGUAAUACGGAGGAUUCGAGCGUUAUCCGGAUUUAUUGGGUUUAAAGGGUGCGUAGGCGGAUUUGUAAGUCAGUGGUGAAAGUUUCCGGCUUAACCGGGAGAAUGCCGUUGAGACUGCAGGUCUUGAGUGCAAGCGAGGUAAGUGGAAUGUGUUGUGUAGCGGUGAAAUGCAUAGAUAUAACACAGAACACCGAUUGCGAAGGCAGCUUACUAGUAUGUAACUGACGCUGAGGCACGAAAGCGUGGGGAGCAAACAGGAUUAGAUACCCCAGUAGUCGC
rnacentral:rRNA from 1 species